UGCAGCUUAUAACCCUCGGCUGGACUUCCGUUCCGUCUCUUGAGUGAUGUCGUUCGCUGCGUUAACGAGCCUUUUACAAUUCAGGAGGUGCUGGGUCUCCUGGUGAGCACGUGCUGUGGCAGGCCGGCAGCCAUGGGAUAGAACGACCACAUACCGCCAUGGAGGCUAAAGUCUGAGCGUCUUUCCAGAUGCACAGCGUGGGACUUUGUGUCUACAUGCGGCAGGCUGGCUGAUGUAAGUGGAGCAGCUGGCCUGCGCUGUGGCAGCCGCAUGUGAA